GACGAGUGGCGGACGGGUGAGGAAUGCUUGGGAAUCUGCCUGUUAGUGGGGGACAACCCGGGGAAACUCGGGCUAAUACCGCAUACGCUCUACGGAGGAAAGCGGGGGACCGUAAGGCCUCGCGCUAACAGAUGAGCCCAAGUCGGAUUAGCUAGUUGGUGGGGUAAAAGCCUACCAAGGCUACGAUCCGUAGCUGGUCUGAGAGGACGAUCAGCCACACUGGGACUGAGACACGGCCCAGACUCC
rnacentral:rRNA from 1 species